GUGUUUGAUGGGUUUCAGUUGUGUGGCUCUUUGCAGCCAAUCACUGUGGGGGGAGCACCUUAUAAAUGCAGGCAUAUGGCACCUGGUAGUCCUCUUGCCUGACGGCGCCUGGGUCAUGUCGCUUUUCCCGGCGCCCUUCACUUCCGCCUUUGUUUGGUUGCAGUGGCUCGCUUGGAUGUUGCAGCUGGUUGUGUGCUGCUUACUGUCUGCUACUGGUUGCUGUGUAGCUGAUCGCGAUGCUCCACACCAUGCUGACCGUGAUUGCCUGACCGGGUAAAGACAUCUGUGUAGCGGCAUAGCAUCCGCUAUUCUGCAAGAAAUCGCUGUUGCUUUGCCUCGCUGCUUUGCCUCACCGCUAGCUGCGUGCUUGCUGCUCAAUGCAAGCUGUUUUGCUUUAAGUGACGAUCGCUUUGACUCAUUGCUCGGCCUCACACUGCGCUGACACAGACUUUUAAUUGCAUCCGCGGUUGCGGUGCCUCAACGCUGUCUGCCUGGUUCCUGGCUGCUCACCACAGCUGGCUAAGAGUGUUAGCCUUCGUCCAGGCUUUGAGCGUUGCCGUGGCCUAAUUGUUGCUCGGCAAUGCCAUCUUGAACUGUAUACUGUCAACCCUGUCGCUUGUUGUUUUUGUGUUUUGUAUAUUAGAGGAUUCAGUAGGAGAGUUUAUCCCAUUUUCUUUGAUUGUAGUUUGACACUUUCUUUCUUUUGUAACAGCUGGUUUUACUGCAACCUGUAGUUCUGAUUUGUUAGCUUCAUGAUUAUUUUGGUCUUUGCAGGAUGCAGGUGCAUUUCGUUUGAUGUAAAUCUUAAUUCUAUUUGAUUUGAUAUUGUGUAUAAUUCUUAUUGAUGUGAUAAACUAAGUCCUGAUUUCUUUUUUGUGAUUAGUUGCAUUUAAUGUUUGUGCUCACCUGCUGUUCUCUGAUUUCCCCCAUUCAGGUGCUGAGCCUAGGGUGGUGGAUUGGUGUUGUGGUGGUAGUGUCCCUCUUGUGUUUGGCACUUUUUUUUUUUUUUUUUUUUAGGUUGCUUUUGGUUUCACUUUUAUUUACAUCACGUGGUGUUCCUGGGAUCCCCUUUGUUUAAGACCCAUCUCACCCCUAGGUCUCAGCCCUGAUUGGUCCCCCUUUUUGUCCCUGUGAGUAACUUGAUACGUUUUUAAGACUAUUUAAACUGAAAUCAAUAAAUGUUUUGUACCCAGAUAUGCUGUAAAACGGACCUGAGUGCCUUACUUGUUUACAAGUUGUCCUUUAAAAAAAAUAAAGUCCCUGGGUGAAACCCCUAGGGUGGCGUUGUUUGUCGUCUUAACUGAGUGCUGCCCAGAGCAUGCUCCUCGUGCCGCCACACAGGCUAGGUGUCAAACACACAGUUGCAGGCAAACACCAUUUUACACAGUAUACAACUAUAACCAUAACAAAGAUCUGAUCAAGCAAAAGUUUUUAAAAAUAACUAAACUGUUAUGUUAAUGUGGAA